AACGCACCUUGCGCCCCUUGGUAUUCCGAGGGGCAUGCCUGUUUGAGUGUCAUUAAAUUCUCAACUCCGAUUUGAUUUGUUUCUUAUCGGAGCUUGGACUUUGGAGCGUGCUGGCGUAAGGUCGGCUCCUCUUAAAUGUAUCAGCGGAAUCUAACCUUUGGAUUCUGGACAUCGGUGUGAUAAUAAAAGUUGCGCCAUCGUUCUACUUCAAAGUCCGCUUACAAUGGUCUUUUGACAAACUCUUAUCAAAUUUGACCUCAAAUCAGGUAGGACUACCCGCUGAACUUAA
rnacentral:misc_RNA from 2 species